CGGACGGGUGAGUAACGCGUGAGUAUUUACCUUUAGGAGGGGGACAACAAUUGGAAACGAUUGCUAAUACCCCAUAUGCUUUAGAGUGAAAUAGAUUUAUCUGCCUAAAGAAAAGCUCGCGGCUGAUUAGCUAGUUGGUAAGGUAAUGGCUUACCAAGGCGACGAUCAGUAUCUGGUUUGAGAGGACGAUCAGACACACUGGAACUGAGACACGGUCCAGACUCCUACGGGAGGCAGCAGUGGGGAAUUUUCCGCAAUGGGCGAAAGCCUGACGGAGCAAUACCGCGUGAGGGAAGACUGCCUAUGGGUUGUAAACCUCUUUUUUCAGGGAGGAAUAAAUGACGUGUACCUGAAGAAUAAGCAUCGGCUAACUCCGUGCCAGCAGCCGCGGUAAGACGGAGGAUGCAAGUGUUAUCCGGAAUCACUGGGCGUAAAGCGUCUGUAGGUUGUUGUUUAAGUCAACUGUUAAAUCUUGAGGCUCAACUUCAAAAUCGCAGUCGAAACUAUUCAACUAGAGUAUAGUAGGGGUAAAGGGAAUUUCCAGUGGAGCGGUGAAAUGCGUAGAUAUUGGAAAGAACACCGAUGGCGAAGGCACUUUACUGGGCUAUUACUAACACUCAGAGACGAAAGCUAGGGUAGCAAAUGGGAUUAGAUACCCCAGUAGUC
rnacentral:rRNA from 1 species